rnacentral:rRNA from 1 species
GAUGAACGCUGGCGGCGUGCCUAAUACAUGCAAGUCGAGCGAACGGACGAGAAGCUUGCUUCUCUGAUGUUAGCGGCGGACGGGUGAGUAACACGUGGAUAACCUACCUAUAAGACUGGGAUAACUUCGGGAAACCGGAGCUAAUACCGGAUAAUAUUUUGAACCGCAUGGUUCAAAAGUGAAAGACGGUCUUGCUGUCACUUAUAGAUGGAUCCGCGCUGCAUUAGCUAGUUGGUAAGGUAACGGCUUACCAAGGCAACGAUGCAUAGCCGACCUGAGAGGGUGAUCGGCCACACUGGAACUGAGACACGGUCCAGACUCCUACGGGAGGCAGCAGUAGGGAAUCUUCCGCAAUGGGCGAAAGCCUGACGGAGCAACGCCGCGUGAGUGAUGAAGGUCUUCGGAUCGUAAAACUCUGUUAUUAGGGAAGAACAUAUGUGUAAGUAACUGUGCACAUCUUGACGGUACCUAAUCAGAAAGCCACGGCUAACUACGUGCCAGCAGCCGCGGUAAUACGUAGGUGGCAAGCGUUAUCCGGAAUUAUUGGGCGUAAAGCGCGCGUAGGCGGUUUUUUAAGUCUGAUGUGAAAGCCCACGGCUCAACCGUGGAGGGUCAUUGGAAACUGGAAAACUUGAGUGCAGAAGAGGAAAGUGGAAUUCCAUGUGUAGCGGUGAAAUGCGCAGAGAUAUGGAGGAACACCAGUGGCGAAGGCGACUUUCUGGUCUGUAACUGACGCUGAUGUGCGAAAGCGUGGGGAUCAAACAGGAUUAGAUACCCUGGUAGUCCACGCCGUAAACGAUGAGUGCUAAGUGUUAGGGGGUUUCCGCCCCUUAGUGCUGCAGCUAACGCAUUAAGCACUCCGCCUGGGGAGUACGACCGCAAGGUUGAAACCCAAAGGAAUUGACGGGGACCCGCACAAGCGGUGGAGCAUGUGGUUUAAUUCGAAGCAACGCGAAGAACCUUACCAAAUCUUGACAUCCUUUGACAACUCUAGAGAUAGAGCUUUCCCCUUCGGGGGACAAAGUGACAGGUGGUGCAUGGUUGUCGUCAGCUCGUGUCGUGAGAUGUUGGGUUAAGUCCCGCAACGAGCGCAACCCUUAAGCUUAGUUGCCAUCAUUAAGUUGGGCACUCUAAGUUGACUGCCGGUGACAAACCGGAGGAAGGUGGGGAUGACGUCAAAUCAUCAUGCCCCUUAUGAUUUGGGCUACACACGUGCUACAAUGGACAAUACAAAGGGCAGCGAAACCGUGAGGUCAAGCAAAUCCCAUAAAGUUGUUCUCAGUUCGGAUUGUAGUCUGCAACUCGACUACAUGAAGCUGGAAUCGCUAGUAAUCGUAGGUCAGCAUGCUACGGUGAAUACGUUCCCGGGUCU